AGUACCUUCGGGUGCGAGUAGAGCGGCGGACGGGUGAGUAACGCGUAGGAAUCUACCUAGUAGAAGGGGAUAGCCCGGGGAAACUCGGAUUAAUACCGUAUACCUCCUCAGGGAGAAAGAGGGCUUAGCUUUGAUGCUCUCGCUAUUAGAUGAGCCUGCGUAAGAUUAGCUUGUUGGUGAGGUAAUGGCUCACCAAGGCGACGAUCUUUAGCUGGUCUGAGAGGACGAUCAGCCACAUUGGGACUGAGACACGGCCCAGACUCCUACGGGAGGCAGCAGUGGGGAAUAUUGGACAAUGGGCGCAAGCCUGAUCCAGCCAUACCGCGUGUGUGAAGAAGGCUUUCGGGUUGUAAAGCACUUUAAGUAAGGAGGAAAAGAUUGUAGUUAAUACCUGCAGUCCGUGACGUUACUUACAGAAUAAGGACCGGCUAAUUCCGUGCCAGCAGCCGCGGUAAUACGGAAGGUCCAAGCGUUAAUCGGAAUUACUGGGCGUAAAGCGCGCGUAGGUGGUUUUUUAAGUUGGAUGUGAAAGCCCUGGGCUCAACCUAGGAACUGCAUCCAAAACUAGAUGACUAGAGUACGAAAGAGGGAAGUAGAAUUCACAGUGUAGCGGUGGAAUGCGUAGAUAUUGUGAAGAAUACCAAUGGCGAAGGCAGCUUCCUGGUUCUGUACUGACACUGAGGUGCGAAAGCGUGGGUAGCGAACAGGAUUAGAUACCCUGGUAGUCCACGCCGUAAACGAUGACAACUAGCUGUUGGGAGACAAGAUCUCUCAGUGGCGCAGCUAACGCUUUAAGUUGUCCGCCU
rnacentral:rRNA from 1 species